rnacentral:siRNA from 1 species
GAGUGACGCUUGGAACGAAACUA